UAAAGAGAAUCAUCUUUCUAGAUUUAAAACUUUAAAUUAUAAACUAACUUAUAAUGAAGCUUGAACAACUUCGUACUGCAGAAAGCUCUUAAGUGAUAAGCUGAUACUUUAAAUAGGUUCUAGUUUGUCCAAAUAAUGAAUAUGCCAACUUGCAUAGUGAAUUAUCGAUAUGACUGCAUAUACCGACUUAAAAUUAUAAUAGAUAGCCUUCUAUACUUAUUAGUUAAGGAAAACUACAUUUUCUUCACCAUAGCUGAGCCACGGCUGACUCAUAAACACAGAGGGAAAAUUGUAUGGAGAGGCAAUUAUAAGGAAAGAGAAAAAGAGUAUGCAAGCUUGAAAAUAUAUUCCUUAAUGUGCAAAUACAUCAAGUUUGUUAGUAUUCUUUUACCACUUAAUGCAUUUUCUGCUUAAAACAGUGUCUUUAAAGAGCAUAGUUACUACUAUGAUGUCGCACACACUUGCCCUCUAAUUUCCCAUCUAGUGAACUGACCUUGGCACUACCAGCACCAGAACACACCUGUAAGUCACAGUGACUCCUGUAGCACCUCUGUGCCAAUGAAAGGUUCUUUGCUUAUAUGCCACCAUUGGGAACCUUGUAGGAAAUGCAGCUGGUGUAACAGAAAAUGAAUCCAGCUCCCUAAUUUUUAUCCAAGUUGGAUCAGUGUGACUAAUGUUAGAAGCAAAGUUUCUGUAAUCCUUAUUCUGCAUCUAAAUUAAGAAGCCAUGAAUACGCACAGCAUGAAGACCAAAGUGAUAAGAAAGUACAGUUUGCAGUCAUUUUCAGAGCAAAGCUACACUUGGAAUUUCCUAGUUUUAUGUAUGCACAGAAUAUGGAAAUCCAUACAACUACCACCCCAGUGUGGUGGGAAUAAAUAGGAAGCUGUAUGGAAAAAUCAUGCAAGAUCUUCCCAGCUACUUUUCUAAUUACCUCCAUGAGACAGAAACUUCUUUCAAAGACAGUCUAUUUUAAAUUGUGCUGAUUUUUUUUUGUUCUUGCUCCCUUUUGCUUAUGGUUAAGGAAUGAAGUAAAGGCCUCAGGAACUUCUUCCUUCAUAGGAAUAUGCCCACAGAUUAAGGGAGAAUAUACAACACUUUCUAUUCAGUGUAUAUAUAAUCUUUCAUCAUUUUAGUCUCAGUUACCUGAAAAGCACAAGUACCAGAUCUACAUAUGAAGCAACAGAACUAAACACUGUCUCUGAAUAUCUGAAAGAGCUGGAAUUGUGCCCCUUAAGAAUAAGCAAUAUAUAAAAUAGCUGAAUUAAGCCAAAUAAAACAAAAUGACCCACUGCUAAGAAAUUGAAUUUGAGAUGAAAAACUGUGUAUCUCAGUACUAUUAUUAACUGCACUUAUCUAAAGAUUACUCUAACAAUGUAAAAUAUGUUAUCUAUAAAAAUAGUUGCAUAAGAAAUCCUAGUAAUGUAAUACUGGCUGCUGAAAAACCUGCAAUAUCUAUGAACACUUCUGCUAUCAAUAAGACCUCCAAAACAUGUGACAAGCCCAGAUAAACAUGGUUAAAUCUGCUCAAGUUGCAUUAUGUAUUCAUUUCAGCUGCAUGCAUCUUCAUAAAUGAGUACUUUUAAAUGAACUUGUCCUGAAAAUUAGAAUUUUGCUCUCACAAAACCUCAGUAUAAGAUUUCAUCAAAAAUGUAUUUGGCUCAAAUUUCUUCUUCUUUACAUUCCUCUAAUUCUUAGGCAGAAACAACUUAUUACUAGGAAAUAACACAAUAAUGUUUUACAUUUGAUUUGUUUUAUAUUCUGAUACAUUUCUCUACUUUGGACACCAAAAAGCAAAGACAGAAAAGAGGUCUCAUUUAUAAUUUAGAACAAGAAAGAAUAUGAAGUCUUUGAUGAAAAUGCACUUUGGCCAGCAUCUUUAAUAAUAAACCUUUGCCUCCCAUCUUGCUCAGUACUAGUUCAGGUGAAAACAUGCUCUUACUGAAUGACCAGGUGUGCUCUCUGAACCAGCAGCAAGUGUCCUUCCUGAACCAUCAAAGUCAUUUCCUGCUUCCUCAGUCUUCCAAACCUACUUUGUUUUGCCUGAAAUCAGUGUCUGAGUUCAAGGUCAUAUGGCUUCAGGCAAAAUGAAUUUGAGCUAGCUUUUAAACUACAUGCUAGGUGUAAUUUUACUUUAAAAAUAAAAGUAGUAUAUAAAACAGCAUAGUUUAUAGAUGCAGAGUUCACAGCUGCUGCUUUUGUUUACUGAUGCAUAUUUGUACAACAUAGAAAGGCUUGAGCAUUCCUGAUAAUACUUAAGGCUGUAAUACAUUAGUCCAGGAAAAUAAGAGAGAGAGAGGGAGGACAGUAGAAUAUAAUGGAUGAAAUAAAAUGUGCAAAUAUACAGGUAAUUUAAAGCUCUUACAUAAAUACCUGUGUGUGCUUAGGUUUCUUAAAUUAGACAUUUCAGUAGGACAACAGCAGAAAUUAACAUGAAGCAUUCACAAACAUCAUCUCUGUUUAAUGUUCAUUUGACAGCAAUGAAAGGAAAACUAGGAAACCUAUGCUAGCACCUUCCAUGAACUUCUAGAAACCAAGAAAGUAAAUACAGAAAGAGCAUGAAUCUCAAUAUCAGCUCUACAACAGUUUUUGAAUGUGACAUAUUAGCAAGUUUGCACUUGGAGUAUCUCACGAUCCACAGAAAAGCUAAAAGGCUCUGCUCCAGAGGUUACAGGCAAAAUGUCAUCAGGAGCAUCCCUGGCUUACCUAGUUACACACUGACUGCCUGUAUAUACAUUACCUCAAAGAAACAAAUUUCUGAAGAACCAAGCUGACACAGAGACACAAAAUACAUGAUAGACAUUUUUAAAAUAUCUAUUUGUUAUCAGUUCUUACUGUGUCCCUAGUUUUGAGACUGCUUCCAGAAAUCUUGCUCAUAAAGAAGCUCUCUGUAUGUUUGAAACAGUAUUAAAAUUUACCCCAGAUCUCUCUGCUGUCAAAAUCUUUUGAAAAUAACUCAUAUAUUUGUAUUACAGAAAGCAAGAUAUUGCAUCUGGUGAGGCCUGUUGCUCCUGAGUAUUUACCCCAGAUGUUAGUGGAAAAAAAAAAUCCCUGAAACUGAUCAAUUAAACUCAGUGGAGACAACAAGGAAAAAUAUCCCUUGAAAUGCAUGCGAGCGCAUGACAUCCCAUUCAGAAGAACCUCAACACUGAGACCUAGAAUUUAAUCACAUCUUCAUUUCUGUAUGGCUAACUUCUCACAUGCUGUAGUUGCCCUAACAAUUUUCUUAGUAACCAGCUCAAACCUUCCAUUCAUAUCCCUAAAUCUUAUGUUACAAAAUCUGCCUAUGCUGAAUGUAUAUAAAUCUUCCUCCUGCAAAUUGUUUUAUUAACAUGAUUACCCCUGUUAGUGGGAUCUAUUAUUAAUGAAUACUGGGUUGAAAAGCAAAUUCCCUUACUGACCUUCUACUGGACUUGAUGAUGAUUUAGAGUCUAGAGACGAGAGCAAAAAUGUUUUAUUUUUUAUUCAGCGUGAAAUCAUCUUCAUUUAUGUCCCUGGAAAAUGAGUAAAAUGCCUGAGACAGACCAUUUCUGCUGCCAGGCUUUCAUAAUGUACUAUCUUUAGAUGCUGACCUGCAGAAAUGUAUCAGAAAAAAAUAUUUCUGCUUUCAGUGCUGCAUUUACUGUAGAUUUGCAUUCUUCCAGGAAAAAUCUGACAGACAAAUUUAACAUUGCAGAUCUGACUUCAAGCAAAUCUCUUAGCUAUUACUGGUUCCAUGAAUCUUUUUUUGAAAGAAGAAUGCAGCUGAAUUUGAUGCCAGGGCUGCAGACACAGAAACAGAGAGGACCUAUGCAAAAUGCUGGAAAAACAUGGAAAAGAUUUCCCUCCCUCAAUGUCCAGAAGUUAUCACUUUCCAAUCUCUAUCAGGCAGCCUGUGCUCUUGAGCUCACAACAGAAGCAGUGCACAAGAUGCUCCUUCCACACCAAGGUUCCAGUUUUGUCUACUGUCUGUUUUAUCCCAUUUCUUUAUCAUCAAGACUUUCUCUCCUGUGCAAGUCUAUUCUGCUAUAUCAAAGAGGAAGGAUUGUUGAAAAGGUAUACCUCCAUAGAUAAGGAAGCAGACUUACACCCAAGGAAUAAUUAACAUACAUGAAAAGUCACCACGGUUCCAAUAGGGCAGAAUAGCCAGUAACUUACAAGUGUGAGGUCAGGUAGAUUGAAGCUACUGUUUAAAAUGGAGAAAGAAUCCCCUAUCCACUCAUAUAUUAUUGAUAGUUGCGCUUGUAUUUAGAGAAAUUCCUUUUUUGUUGGCUUUCAGAUAGCCACUGAAUAAGUUCAUCAGCCAUCAGUAAUAUGAUAUGGAUUCCAUAACAACACAUUGACAGUGAAAAAGACUGUCCAGCACAAUACUGAAAGUUCAGUGCCAUUUUCCUAGCUUGACUGCUGCACUGUCUUUUAUACUCUUUUCUUUAUGAAAGUCUUAGACCUGAAAGCUCCAAAUGUUGCUUAUUUGCUGGUUUUCAUGUAAUGACGAUAUUGAUGUGUCAGAAACAUUUUUGCUAAGGUCUCAUUUAGUUUCACAUGCUGAAAACGGAAAACAGUCAAAAUAAAAGAACAAUUGGAAGAAUAUUAAUCAGCAAUAAACUUCUCUUACUUCACCACAAAAUUCUUGAAAUUCUGUCCUUCCAAUUGCUCACAAACCCAGAUGAGUCCACAUGCACAAUGACACACAAGUUCAGUCUGUGUUUACAUGCUUGCAGAUGAGUUCAAUGCUACAUGAUCUUUAUCACUGUUAUUACGAAAUGCCUUUACAGACAUGCCUAUGACACUUCAGAAGCAGCAGAAAUGGAUUUCUGGUUGCCAGCAGGCUUAUUUUUUCUCUUUUACCACUGAAUAACAGAGCAGACGGUACAUAAUUGGCAUUUUUCACAGUCUGAUAUAUUUUUUAAAGUACCAAUUUAUAAAGCAAAGAUAUUAACCUGAUUCAUCUGACUUUUUCAUCCCUCUAAAACAACUGCACUCUUUCCUUGGGGUAUAUCUGAAAGCCUGAAAUUGAAAUAAUGCAUAUCUCAGGGGGAAACACAAACUGUAUGAUAAAAUACAUACACAAAAUAUCUGGGUAUCCUUAUUUUAAUACACUUUUUGGACAUAGAAACUGGAGAUGUUCAACCUUCCCUCACCUAUCUUUACUAACAAAUGCUGCACACACAUCACUAUCAUACGACUUUGCUUCAGGUACACCACUCAGGUGAAUACAUAUUUCUCACUCUAAGCCGAGAACUGAUUUCAGAGAAGAAAAAAAUUCAGCUCUUACACUCUGUAGUUUAGGGAACGAUGUUACUAAGUGGAGGCGGGACUGGAGUAGGGCCUCACGGGAUUCCACAGAGGCACAGUGCAAACCAGAGCCUGAUGACUGGAUGCCCAGCUCCAGGCAGACCUGGCUGCUGCACCUAGACCAGCCCUGCACUGAGCAAGCAGCCAGAUGUGUGUGAGCCCCACUUGUGCCCCACUUGUGCUUCAGAAAAGUUUCAGGCGUCUCUAAUGAGUAAACACUGACAAAAUAUUUAACAUUUCCAAUGCCUCAAAAAACUUCAAACCUAUCUUACAAACUGCUUUCAAUUUCACUCAGUAUUUUCCUGUAUUUUUAUCUUUCUGCAUCAAACACUAUGAUUCAUGCUCCACUGAGAAAUAGAUGAGAGAAAUAGAUGGUUAAGGGGAAGAUAAAAUCUUUUCCUGUGAAAAUAUCUGUUAUUUCCUGUCCUGAAUAACAAGUUUUCUAACGAUUAAAUGAACUUUUGGCAAAAGCAUAACUAAGUUCAUACAUACUCCUUACUUUGAAUGCAAUAGAAAGCCAAAUCACAAAGUUUUUUUCCAUAUUUUGGAAAUACUGAAUUAGAUACAAACAGUAUCAUUUAUAAUGUGUAUAUUUUCACAUCCAAGAAAAUGACAGAUAUUAAUGGCAAGUGUUCCAACUGAGCCAAAUCAAAAUACCAAAUACUGGGCCAUCUAAUGAGCCAGUUGGUUUCCAGAGGUGUGGGACAAUCUGCAGCUUGUUCUACCUAUCAUGAUGCGGGUUUCUUCUGUCUAAAACAGAUGCUGUUCAUUAUGCUGUAAACAAGAGAAAGAAGAAUCCGAAGAGAUCAGCAGGAGAAGCAAACAUUAUCAAGGCUGACAAGUUAAAAGAAUUUUCUCCCAACAUCUUAUUCAAGAUGUAACUGCUCUAUCACUAGGACUGAAAUCAAGUUUGGAUCAAGUUUGGUCAUUUUGUUCUUUACGUGAAAUAUUACAAUUUUAUCCCUCUAAAGAUACUUCAAAUAGAAAAGAAAAUAGUUGCCAAAAGUUAAUUCUGAAAGAUCCCCAUGAGCAGGAAAAAGUCCGGGCUCUUGGCAUUUAUUAUCAAAACUCCUGUCAAGAAAUGAACCAACUGUGCUGUUAUAUUGCAUAAGUUUCCAAUACAAAAUCUAUAAAUAUUAAUUCAUGUAAGAAACCUCUUGGCAACUAUUUUGAGUUAAGGACAACUAAUUUAUUUCCAGAUCAAUGGCACUGUUUUGUAUGUAAUCAUAUUUUAAAAUGAUAACUUUCCUCAAAAGUGCUUCUAAAUAUUAUUUUUGUGAAUAGGCCAGUACAUUAAUCCAAGCUUCUUAUUUCUCCUUAUGCAAAUACCGAUCAAUAUUUAUUUCGUUCUCUCAAGUAGAAGUGCCCACGUUCUGAAGUUUCACAGCAAGUUUCACUAAUGUUGUCCUUCAAAUCCCUUACAGCCUUCUGUUAAUACUUGUAGAAAAUCAGAACAUUUAAUCAUUUUGUCUUUAGCCAUGCAGUAGGGCACUGGGUUUUCUUUUCCUUUGUUGCCAGAAACACAUCUAAAAGCUGUUAUACUCCUUGGCUGAAGCAAUCUGGAGCUGAAACCCAGACAAGAAACUAGACUGUAUUCACACUGCAGCCUAAGAAACACAGCUCAGAGAAAUAAAGUUAUGACAACCAGAAAACAGAUGAAUAUA